rnacentral:lncRNA from 1 species
CUAUGUGUUUCGUUGUAAUUCUAUUUUCUCUUUAAAAAUUAUGUUUACUCUAUUUGAUUUAACUCUUUGAAGUUGUUAGCAAAGUGCAGAAAGUGUGUUGACUAUGUAGAGAACUCGCUGUUGCUAAAGCUAACGUUAAUAUUUUGUUUCUCCUAUUUUGUUUGGUUGUUUAUUUGUUGAGAAACUUAAGCCGAAGAAAAGUGUUUCAAAAAUAAUGUUUAAUUAAAUCAAAUAAAUAUCUUGUUUGGUUUUAUUUUUUUAGUGGAUUGAAAUGGAAGAUUAAGCUGAGUGAAACAGGCAUGGUUUUAACUAGAGUUAAUAAUUUUUUUUAUUUAUGUAAUAGAUGAAUUCGAUGGUUAAAGUUAGUGCCAAAAAGGUCAAAGCAAUGUGGGAUAAGAGAUUGGUAGAAAUAUUUUGUGAUCUUUGUAUUAAAGAGAUACUGAAAAGCAAUAGACCUGGUAAUCAUUUCACAAAAGAGGGAUGGUUGGAAACAAUGGCCAACUUCGAAAAUGAAACAGGCAAGGCUUAUUCACAAAGACAAUUUAAAAAUAAGUGGGAUGCCUUGAAAAAAGAAUAAAAAGCUUGGAAAAAGUUUAAAGGCGGAGAUAUUGGUCUAGGGUGGAAUCCUAUAAAAAUAAUCGUUGAUGCAUCAGAUGAUUGGCGGGAAUGUAGGCUAAAGGUAUAUUAAUAAUUCUUAUCAUUUUUGUUCUUUUUUCUUAUUUAUGAGGUUAUUGAUAAUUUCUUAUUGAAUUAUUAAUUUAUAUGUAGGUUGUGCCAAAAGCUCAAAAAUUUAGAACUUUGGGCAUUAAUCCUGAAUUCGAAGGACAGUUGGACCAGAUGUUCAUGGGGAUAGCUACCACGGUGAUAAAGCAUGGGCACCUAUAUUUUGAGGAUGUUGACAAUGACAUGCUUGAAAAGAAUGAGGAAGAAAAUGCGAUAAAUGAUGUUCACAUUUCAAAUUAUAUGCACAUGUCCUUAUUCUAAUUGGAAAUGAGCAAACUGAUUGAAAGACUAAUAUCUCGUCUAUCAAGUCCAAAUGGGAGAUGUUUUGUCUUAAACAUCAAAGCGAAUAACUCCCAGAAGAUAGAGAAAUAUCUCAAGUAGAAUACAUUCUAGAUCCAUUUAUUGGUUUAUUCACUCCUGAUAUUCAUAGCGUGACAUACCUUAAUCCUGAGUGGAUGAUAAACUAUGUAUGCGUGACUUGUAUCUUUUAUGUAAGUAAAAGCUUGAGUUAUAAUAGAUAAGGAACCGAAAGCUAGUGUGUUGGGUAUACGACUUCUACAGUAUGUAGCAUCAUUCACAAUAGUGGAAUUCAUAUCCCAAUUAAUGCAUAAGUGAUAUCAUCUCAUCAUCAUUACAUGGUAAAUGAAAAGUAAAUGCGCCUACGGGUCAUUUGCCUUUGUGAUAAAUGACUUGAUUACUAUCUGAUAGUAAUUGACUUUUCAUGAAUGAAGAUGUCAUGGUUACCGUGAGAUAAAAUAGGAUCAUAUUGAGAGAAUAAAUUUAUCCCAAAGUAAAGAUAUCCUAUGAGGGUAACACACUUAUGAAAAAGUCAUUGGACGAGCACUUAUCAAGUAUUUUUUGUAAUGAUAUAUAAUUAGAUAGUGUUGAGUCACAAUACUAAAUGGAAUAACUAUUUUGAGUUGGUUUUAAUAUGUGUAACUUGUGCAUGAAAGUUUGGUUGCAUGCUUUAAAUUUUUAGAUUCUAUAUAUUUGCACUAGUGUCUCGAGACAACGAACAUGUCUCGAGGCAUCAAAAACAUUUUGACCAUUUGGUGCACUUCUGUGUAAGUGUCACGAGAACAUGCUUGUUUCGAGACAUUGGGUGAUUUGUCUCAAGACAUUGUGGCCUUUGUAUCGAGACACAAAACAUCGAACCUAAAUUAGGAUGAAAAUAGGUCCAAGGUUUCGAGACAAGUAUUCUUGUUUGGAGACAUAAAGAACAUUGUCUCGAGACACCAAACAUCAAAGCUAAAUUGACUUGUUAAGGGAGGCAUGUCCCGAGACAUGGAUUCUAUGUCUCCAAACAUGGCUACACAAUUUGAUAAUUCAGCCCAAGGUUCGUAUCUUGGCCCCAUUUUUGGAUGUAUAUGGCCCGUAUUCUUUAUGUUUGUAUUCAUUUUCAUUGCUAAAUAAAUUAUAUUGAUAAUUCUUUGCUUAAGUGAUUGUUUGUUUGAGAUGCUCUGGCAUCUAAUGUGGCAACUUGUAUUCGAACCUACCUUUUGGGUCAGGUGUAUGGUAUUACACAUUCAAAGAAAAUGUGAUUCCUAGAUUCAGUCACACUAGAACACAAUAAGCAACAAACAUCAAUAUUUAGCCGAAAGAAGUACAAUCUAUCUCUGGUUGGAAGCCUAUUCAACACUGCCAUCCAAGUGAUAACUACAUGUUUUGGAAUAUGCAAAGGAAACCAUAUUAACUUAUGCUAACAAACUUUGGUGCCUUUAACUCUAAUUACUUCUCACAAUUUGGAAGUAGAAAUCUUAGUAUCUGAAGAAAAGCUUUAGAUAGUAGAAGCAUCAAUGUCCCAAAGCUUGAUCAAAAUUUUUCAAUUCCAAAUUCUUGUAGAGCUAGGAUUGUGAUAACUCUAAAAUAUGAAGUUAUUUUUAGUACUUUAAAGCUCAUAUUUCAUGGAAAUUCUGAGUGAUUUCUAACUAAAUUUUUGUAGUUUCACCUAUAAUUUUGUUUUACUAAAGUAAUAAUAAGAAAUUUUUUAUUUUUACUAAUUACUAUGCUAAACUCGUGAUUUUCAUCUAUUAGGUGUUAAAUGAAGACAAUGGACAGAAAUAAUGGAAGUUGACAGAUAAAGGCUCAAUGCCACAACUAUUGCUGCAACAUUAUUCUAAUGGUUUAGGCCUUAAGAAUCCACAUACAUAGAUGUCUAUUGGAGCUUUAUUUGGGCCUAAUCUCACGUCCAACCCAAUUUUGGAGGAGCUUGAAAAAUUUUGUAACCCAAUAAGAGCCCAAACCAUAUGCAUAAGGAAAAGAAGGAAGAAAAAAUAAAAAAAAAUCAAAGAUAUGAUCUUCAACAUCCCAACCACAUCCCUUUGUUUAAUGAGCAAACUUAUCAACCCUUGAGAAAUGCAUAGGGACACUACCUACAUGGAGGAAAUAAAGGGAAUCAAAGAUAAAAAGAACAAGGGAGUUAGGAGCUCAAACUAGUAUAAAAAAAGGGCAUUCAUCCAUUUACAAUACACAAUUUACUCUACCGAGUAAAAGAGAAAUUCCAUAAGUGAGAAGCAAGAGAGUUUCGAAAAUAGCUUGAGAAAGCAUUGCUAAGAGUGAAGCAAAGGAAGAAAAGAGGAGGAGAAUCGUGAGGUGCCACGGAGAACCACUAGGAAUCACCUUAUAAUUUCUUCUUUCCUUUAUCUGUUUACUUUGUUCUUACGUUGAAAACAUGAUUGCUUAUUGUUUUUAUGUCUUCUCUUUAAUUAAAAUGACUAAAUCUUAUUGAUGUUGGAAUAGUUAUGCAACUUUAGUUUAUAUUCAAUGAAGUUUUAAUAGAGAUGUUAUCCGCAUUUGGUAGUUUUACUUAGUCAAGUACUAUCAUGAUCAUACUUCCUGACACAUACGUGAUGUUGGUAAGUAAUUGAAUUAGUAAAUUGAUCUGAAAAUAUGGUUAUUAAUUGACAAAAUACUUGAUUGGUGCUUGUUUAAUCAUGUGUAAUUGUACCGAGGGAUAUUUAUUACCUUGCAUAUCCUUAGGAUUAAUGUGAUUAAACUUGAUUCAAUAUAGACAUAUCACUGUUACCUCACUUAAUUCUUAAGAAAGAAGCCUAGAAAGGUAAUCUUGAUGUUAGACUCGACAUAGCCAUAUGUGAAGAGACAAAUAGGUUAAGCUUAGGUUGAGAGAAGCUGAGCAUUUGUAAAAUCAGGGUUAGUAAUUCACCAUUUAUGCCACAGUCAACCUGUAAAAGUCUUUAUCAUUAUUUUAAUAAAUAUAAGUUAAAGGGGAUUAACUAUUCUAGUCUUUCAUGCUAUUGUAGUUAACGCUUGCUAUUUGUUUUUUGUGUUUUUUAGUUGUGCAUUCAACUAGGUUAAGUUUCGUUUAGUUAAUUAGCACAUUCCUUAACCAUAUUUUUAUUGUUCACCAACUUGUCAUUAAUAAAUUUCACAAUAUUUACCUUACUUAAACAGUACCUGUGGAGACGAUACUCUUAACUCACUACUUUAUUUCUUGUUGAUGAUUGUGUACACUUGCAUAUCAUUCAAUAAAUUCGCGAAAAAUUGACAUCCCAAAAGCUUCUCCCUUUCAGAACAUAUUCAUGAAUCCAAGAUAACCAUAGAGAGCCUUCUCCUUCAAGAAUGGACUGAAUUCAUUACAAUAUACAAGCCUUAUUCCAUUCAUCUAGAUCCCUCAACCCCAAGUGAUGUGAACCCGAUUGCAUCAUGUUACGUCACAAUUCGACAUCAUCAAGAUUGGCCUAAGCACGAGGGACCUCAAUGCAAAAUGAAGCUUAAUUACAAGCUCGUUCAGCUCAGUAAGCGUGCAUGGCAACUUCUUGCAAACUGAUCUAGCUUGAUCUAGCUCAAUGGAGCAAAUUCGGCUUGAUAAUAGCUCAUUGAGCUUGAUUCUAUUUUAUUUAAUUUCAUGCAUUUUAAGUUGCUGGAAUAAAUUAAAUAUGUGUUUAGUUAAAUUAGUUAAAUCAGCUUGAAUAAUUAUUACAUGAUUUUAAUGUGUUUUAAUCUAUUACAUAUCUUUAAUAUGUUUUAACCGAAUUAAUGUGCAGGUAUUAUUGUGUCUUAGCUCAAACAUGUUUUUAAUGAGCUGUUGUCAAUUUAAUGAGUCUUAAGCUAUUUUAAUUGUUGAAUUUAAUGUGCAGCUGCAAGCAUGGGAUAGCAUUAAAGGAGCUGCUGAAGCAUUAAGGCAAAGCAUGCAUGGACGGCAUUAAAUGAUCUGCUGAAGCAUUAAAGCAAAACAUGCAUGGAUGACAUUAAAUGAGUUGCUGAAGCGUUAAAGAAAAGCAUGCUUGGAUCAGCAAUAAAGUACCUGAUGAUUACUCUUCAGGUGGCUGUUCGUGCAACUCAAUGGACUUUGAGUUGAAUCAAUCCAGCUGCUACUUUUUAAGCUUCUCCAUGUGACCCAUCAAAAAUCCACAAGCCACACCUAUUCGGCUGAAUGAUUGCCAACCUAUUUGUUAGAAUGUGGCCCUCCAUGCAGCUCAUACACCAGUCAUCAGACCAAGUAAAGUAGGCCAAGACCAGAAGCUGCCGAGCCACUGUGCUGAAGCUGUUUAUUUUGUUUCUUUUGUAACCAUAGUUUAUGUAAUGUGUUCUAGUUCAUUUCUUUAAAGUUAGUUUAGUUUACAUUUGAUGUAAUUUCAUGAUAUAGGAGCUGAUGACCAACUUUGCUCAAGUGUACAAGUUUAGUUUUGUAAGUUCCAAUGUAUUAGUGGUAGUUGGUAUAGUUUAGUUGACUUUAUGCUGAUUUUGACAAGCAAAAAGCUUGGUUUAUGUAUUGGCAUUAUGUCAUUGUUCAAGUUAAUAAAUCAUUAUCAGGUUUCAUUCAUUUUUAUGCUCCAUUUUUCUUUGUUUCAUUUCUGUUCUUGUUUUCCUUUGAAAUUUUGUCUUUAUUUCUUCCACAAGCCACGAGGCUUGUUGCACAAGAUUCUUUUUCUUGCUUGCUGUUUUGUUUCAAGAUCCAACAAUAGGUAUCUAGAGCCACAUUCUUAGAGGACCUGUUGUAAUUAAACAUCAAACAAGAUGGCUUCAUCAGGUUUUUCUCCUGCAGCACCACCAAUUUUUAAUGGUGAGGGACUCCACAUUUGGAUUGUCAAAAUGAGAACUUACCUAUAAGCCUUCGAUCUGUAGGAAGUGGUGAACACUGAUGCUGAGCCUACUCCACUUAGAGCCAAUCCCACUGUGGCUCAAAUCAGACAACAUGCAGACGAAAGGACCAAAAGGCAUAAGGCCAUGUCAUGUAUUCAGAACUGUGUUUCUGAUGUUAUCUUCACCAGAAUUAUGACUUGUGAGACUCCCAAGCAGGCCUGGGACAAGCUCAAGGAGGAGUUCCAAGGCACUGAAAGAACAAGGCAGCAGUAGUUGCUAAACUUGAGAAGAGACUUUGAAAAUCUCAAGAUGAAGGAAGAAGAGACAAUGAAGCAAUACUCAAAAAGGAUAAUGGUUGAGGUCAACAGCAUAAGAUUGCUAGGAGAACAGUUCAGUGAGGCAAGAAUUGUGGAGAAGGUGCUCUCAACACUGCCUGAAAGAUAUGAGGCAAAGAUCUCAUCCUUGGAAGAUUCGAGAGACCUGGCAACCAUCUCUCUAACUGAGCUCAUUAAUGCCCUCUAUGCCCAGGAGCAAAGGAGAGCCAGUAGAAUAGAAGAGCACCAGGAGGGUGCUUUUCAAGCCAAGGCCAAAGCAACCUCAAGCACCUCAGCCUACAAAGGCAAGAAGAACUGGAGAAACAGACCUAAGCCUGAUACUGCAAGAGGAGGAGAUUGACUCUACAGAUUUUGUAAAAAACCUGGUCAUCCAGAGACCAGAUGCUGGUUCAAGCCAGAUGCUGCGUGUCAACACUGCAAGAAGAAGGGCCAUGUUGAAAGGGUCUGCAAAGAAAAAGGCAGACCCGGUCAAAACCAACCACAACACAAGAGUGAAGAAGCUCGAGUGGCUGAAGACAGUAGUGACCAUGAAGAGCAAGUCUUUGUUGUGUCAUGUUUAGCUGGUUAAGGAAAAGGCUCAAAAGGAUGGUUGCUGGACAGUGGUUGCACCAACCACAUGUCACCAGAUGUUAGCAUCUUCAAAACAUUGGAUAGAUCUUGCAAAACCAAGGUAAAAAUUGGAAAUGGUCAGCUCAUUAAGGCUGAAGGCAAGGGAGAUGUGCUAGUAUACACCUCGACAGGAGACAAAGUCAUAACAAAUGUACUGUUAGUACCUGAGAUUGACAGGAACCUUCUCAGCAUUGCACAAUUGCUUGAAAGGGGCCACUCGAUUGUGUUCAAGCGCCGGGAGUGCCAAAUCACUGAUCUAAAUGGAUCAAGCCUCAUGACAGUCACUAUGAGUGACAAAUGCUUUGAAGUCAACUGGUCAGGUGACUCGCACUCAGCCCAUGUUUCUUCAACAGAAGACACCAAGCUUUGGCAUCAAAGACUUGGUCAUGCCAACUUCAAAUCCAUGGCUCGGAUAGUUAGCAAGGAAAUGGUUGAAAACUUGACCAAUACAGUUCAGAAUAAAGAUGUUUCUGAGGUUUGUUAGAUGGGAAAGCAAGCCAGGCUUCCAUUUCCUGUAAACACCACCUGGAGAGCAUCAAGCAAGCUGAAACUGGUACACAGUGAUGUUUGUGGCCCCAUGAGGACUGAAUCACUUAGUGGCAACAGGUACUUUAUUCUCUUUAUUGAUGAUUGUACCAUAUAUUGCUAUAUUUAUUCUUUGAAGCACAAGUCUGAGGUAGCUCAAGUGUUUGUGAAGUUCAAAGCUGCAGUGGAAAUAGAAACAGGCUGCAAGAUAAAGACCAUUAGGUCAGAUAAUGGAACUGAUUACACCUCAGCUCAGUUCCAAGCUUUGUGCAAUGAUGCUGGCAUCAAACACUAGCUAAGCAAUGUUUAUACACUUCAGCAAAAUGGGUGAGUGAAAGAAAAAAUAGGAGCCUCUUGGAUAUGGCUAGGUGUCUCCUAUUUCAGAAGAAUCUACCCAAGACAAUGUGGGCUGAAGUAGUUAACACUGAUGUUUACAUUCAGAAUAGGCUACCAACCAAAGCACUUGAGCACAAGACUCCAUUUGAAGCCUGGUUUGGAUUCAAACCUUUAUUAGCUCACCUGAAAGUAUUUGGUUGCCUAUGUUACUACCAUGUACCAGCUGUGAAGAGAGACAAGCUGUUAAAAAGAGCCAAACCUGGUAUUCUGGUAGGCUACAGCUUAGUCAAAAAGGGUUAUAGGAUCUUAGAUCCCUUAACCAACAAAGUUCAAGUGAGCAGGGAUGUGGUAUUUGAUGAGAAGGCUUACUGGAAUUGGGAAAGAAAAGAACCUGAGGCCAUUUCUGAAGAACUCAUAACAGAUCAGUUUGAAUCUGACCAAAAUGAUCCUAACAUGGAUGUUGAUGAUGAACCAGUCAGGGGUAUAAGAACAUUGGCUGACAUUUAUGAGAGGGCUCAUAUUGCACAAGUAGAACCAAGCUGCUUUGAAGAUGCUGAAGCUCAUGAAGGCUGGAAACUGGCAAUGUCUGAUGAAAUAGCCAUGAUUGAGAAGAACCAGACAUGGGAACUGGUUCCUAGACUAGCCAAGAGGAAGGUUAUUGGAGUAAAAUGGGUCUAUCGAGCCAAACAAAAUGCUGAUGGCAGCUUGAACAAGUUAAAGGCUAGGCUUGUUGUCAAGGGGUUCAGUCAAAGAUAUGGCCUAGACUACAUGGAGACUUUUGCACCAGUAGCUAGGCUAGACACAAUCAGAUUGCUAGUUGCUUUGGCUACACAAAGGCAAUGGAUCAUUCAUCAAUUGGAUGUAAAGUCUGCAUUCCUCAAUGGCUUUCUUGAAGAAGAGAUUUAUAUUGACCAACCUCAAGGUUUUGUUGUGAUAGGCAAAGAGAAUAUGGUAUACAGGCUCAAAAAGGCCUUGUAUGGCCUAAAACAAGCCCCUAGAGCCUGGUAUGCAAGAAUUGACAGCUAUCUGGUCAGUUUGGGAUUCAAGAGAAGCAUCAGUGAGCCAACCUUGUAUGUCAAGAAGAAACAAGCUGAAACAUAGCUUAUUAUGUCUCUCUAUGUAGAUGAUCUUUUGGUGACAGGAGGAGACCAAAGUAUAUUGGCUGAUUUUAAAGCCAAAAUGAAAGACAUGUUUGAAAUGUCUGACCUGGGACAGAUGACCUACUUUCUUGGAAUGGAGGUGCAGUAAACUCAUAGUGGAAUCUUCUUGGGGCAGAAGACAUUUGCUGCAAAAAUUCUAAGCAAAUUCUCCAUGGAAAACUGCAAGCCAACAAGCACGCCUAUGGCUGUUGGAGUAAAACUAUCACGUCAAGAAGGCUAUGAACAGGUCAGUGAAGCUGAUUAUAGAAGUCUUGUUGGUUGCUUGUUGUAUUUGACAGCAACCAAACAUUAUGUUUGCUGUUAGUAUACUGUCAAGGUUUAUGCAUUGCUGCAACAAACAACACCUUCAAGUAGCAAAAACACCUUCAAGCAGCAAAGAGAGUGCUCAGGUAUAUCAAAGGCACCUUGAGCUAUGGAUUAAAAUUCAGCAUGAGUGAAGACCUGAAGCUGAUAGGUUACACUGACAGUGAUUGGGCCGGUUCAAGGGAUGACAUGAAAAGCACUUCAGGUUAUGCAUUUACACUUGGUUCAGCAAUGUUUUGCUAGAGUUCAAAGAAGCAAAAUAUAGUUGCUUAAUCUACAGUAGAAGCUGAGUAUGUGGCUGCUGCUGGAGCAGUGAAUCAAGCCAUUUGGCUUAGGAAAAUCCUUGCUGAUCUAAACCUAUGUCAAAAGGAAGCAACAGAGAUCUAUUGUGAUAACAUGUCUGCUGUUGCAAUUGCAAAGAAUCCUGUCUUCCAUGGUAGAACCAAACAUUUUAGCAUUAAGUUGCAUGUGGUAAGGGAGAUGGAACAAGUUCGAGAGAUAGAGCUGGUUCAUUACAAUUCAGAGGACCAAGUUGCUGAUAUUUUCACAAAGGCCCUAAGUACUUUAAGGUUCAUUAAGUUAAGAAAAGAACUUGGAGUUAGUAGCAUGGAGACCAAGGAGGAGUGUUAGAAUGUGGCCCUCCAUGCAGCUCACGCACCAGUCAUCAGACCAAGCAGAGCACGCUAAGACCAGAAGCUACCGAGUCACUGUGCUGAAGCUGUUUAUUUUGUUUCUUUUGUAACCAUAGUUUAUGUAAUGUGUUCUAGUUCAUUUCUUUAAACUUAGUUUAGUUUACAUUUGAUGUAAUUUCAUGAUAUAGGAGCUAAUGACCAACUUUGCUCAAGUGUACAAGUUUAGUUUUGUAAGUUCCAAUGUAUUAGUGGUAGUUGGUAUAGUUUAGUUGACUUUAUGCUGACUUUAACAAGCAAAAAGCUUGGUUUAUGUAUUGGCAUUAUGCCAUUGUUCAAGUUAAUGAAUCAUUAUCAGGUUUCAUUCAUUUUUAUGCUCCAUUUUUCUUUGUUUCAUUUUUGUUCUUGUUUUCCUUUGAAAUUCUAUCUUUGUUUCUUCCACAAGCCACGAGGCUUGCUGCACAAGCUUACUGUUCUUGCUUGCUGUUUUGUUUCAAGAUCUAACACUAUUGAAGUGCCCAAGCUGCAAUGUAAAUGCCCAAAGCUGUUCAGCUAACCAAAACAGCAAUUAAUUUCCAUGCAAUCACUUUGGCCGAAUUUACUAAGGAACACUCAGCUCAUUUUUAAUGUUGAACUAGCUAGGAAGUUUCAAGGAAGCUUUAAGGAAAUUUCAUGGCACUUUCAGCUCAUUUGAGCUGAUUUAAAGCUGAUCGUUCAUCUACUUAAAGGUCAUUCGGCUAUCCAUGUUUUUAGUUAUAAAUAGAGGCUCUUAGCUGAAUGUAAAAAAACUUUUGAUCAUUUUAUGAAUUUUAUAAUACUUUGUAAGUGUUCAUACUCUCAUUGCUCUCCUUAGACUUAAUUGAUUUAUCAAGAAAUCCUUGUGGCGUCAAUCCCGUCUUUUUGAACUUAUCACUUUGUUAAAGUGUGGCGUUCACCCAUACCAAGGUUCCUAUCUUCCAUAGAUAAUGGGUCGAGGUUUAUUAUCAAUUUAUCUGUCCUAUUUCCAUCACUUUUCAAUCUAAGUGCUAUUAUAGGUUUUGGGUCAACAUAGCCUAUUGUGUUGGUUCAAACUUUGGCCUUAGCCGAUUUCCAUCCAUCUAUCACCAAGCUAUCCUUUAACCUUUGUUUGAGCCCUUUUGUGAACCUAUUUCCAUCUUUCUUUUCAGCCUUCUUCGAACCAUCCAAGACUUACUCAAUUUAUCGAUCGAGCAACUAAACGACUCAAAUCAACGCCAAGGCGAGUUAGUAUCAUUAAUGAUAUGAACCUGGUCGCAUCAUGUUACGACCCAACUUCACAACAUCGAGAAUGGCCUAAGAUCGAGUGUCCCAAGUGCAAAAUGAAGCUUAAUUACAAGCUCAUUCAGCUCACUAAGCGUGCUUGGCAUUCUUAUGCCAGUUGGUCUAGCUCAAUUCCAUCUCAACGAGCUCAAUUCAGCUCGAUUCUAGCUCAAUGAGUUCAUUUCCAUCCUUUUUAUUUUACGUGUUUUAAGUUACUGGAAUUAAAUAAAUUAUUUAAUUAAAUUAGUUAAUUAGUUUUCAACUCAUCAAUAUGUUCAAAUUUGAUAUUUAUUAAUUUGAGUUAAGUGUGUUUAAAUUUUAAUACAUGUUUUUAAAAUGUUCAGCUCUCCCUCAAGAAUGGACUGAAUUCAUUGCAAUAUACAAGCCUUAUUCCAUUCAUCUAGAUCCCUUAACCCAAGCAACCUUUUGAUUUUUAAUAAAUAAAUCAGUUUUCAUCCAAAUCUAGAUACGAAAGCAGCAUAAUCUUUCCCUCCCCAAAAGAAUCUUAAACAAAGUUGAGAAAUUCUUUUAAGACCAAACUUUGGCAAGAAACAGUGUCUACACAUAAAUGCUUACAUACUAAAGAUCACAGUUUAAAUUAGCUGAAGUCUACUAGCAUAACUAAUACACCUAGCUGACUAGCCAUUAAUUUCAGCAGUAGUCUUCUCAAUCAAAAGAACACAAACAAAAUAUCAAAACUUCCUGGACACAAGAGGUAUCCCAAAAUACCUCAUUGGUUUUUUUACCAAUCUUAAAUCCAUUAAUGGCUUUCGUGAUUUCCAACUCAGCUUUUGAAACACCAGCCACAAAGAGCUCACUUUGGAGGCAAUUAGCUACAAUCUAAAAACAAAAUAGAGUUCCUUUAAAAUGCACCAAAUUCCCACAAUAGAUCCAACACUACCCUAUACAAAAAUAAUAAAAUCAUUUGCAAAGGAAAGAUGAGUGAUUUUCAAUUUAAGGCACUUAGGAUGAUCCUUGAAAACUCCUUACUCAACUCCUAUUUCCAGGAACCUGGACAAAACAUUGAUGGAAAUGAAAAACAAAUAGGGAGAAAGAAGGUCUCCUUGUCUUAAGCUUUUAGCCCCUAUAAAAAUUACAAUAAGUUUAUCAUUAAGAGAGAUGGAGAAUCUAGGAGUAGUAAUGCAAGCUUCAACCAUUUUACUAGUUGCUUAGAGAAUCUAAUGGAUCUAAAAAAAUAUAGAAUAAAAACCCAAUCUAGAGAAUCAAAUGCCUUCUACAUAUUUACCUUUAGAGCACACCUAUGAGAAGUAUUCUUCCUCUUAUAACCCUUCAUCAACACAUAAGCAAGAAGGAAGUUAUCAAUAAUGCUUUUGUCUCUAACGAAUGCUCUUUGAUUGCUAGAAAUUAAAUCAAGAAGGUGUUGAGUAAUUCUAUUCACCAAGACCUUUGAAAUAUGUUUGUAUAUUAUAUUACAACAAGAUAUAAGUCUGAACUCCUUAAUAUGGUUAGGAUUUUCACACUAAAGAACAAGUGCAAUAAUGGUAGCAUUAAAAGCAGGUGAUAACUUGGAAUACGUAAAGAAAUACUAUACUACAUCAACAAAAUCCUUUCCAACUAUGUGCCAUACAAAUUUAAAGAAAAAAGCAGUAUAGCCAUCAAGCCUAGAAGCUUUAUCAUUCCCUUACUCAAAUAGUGCCACUUUAAUCCCUUUAAUAGUAAUAAGCCUAACCAUAUCAUGUUAAACAUUCAUAGGCAAAAUAGAAGAAAUAGCUCACUGAAAAAAUGAUCAGAACAACCAACAACUUAUUCAUCAGCAAUACCAAUAAGUCCUUUGUAAUAUUGAAUAGUCUUAAAAGCUAUCUACUCAUGAGAUUCCAAUCUAUUUCCUCUGCCAUCAAUCAAUGUUUUAAUAGUAUGCUUAUUCUUCUUUAUUGCACCAACAUUGUGAAAUAAUUUAACACUCUGGUCCCUCUCUCUAAGCUAGCUUACUCUUGCCUUUUGUCUAAAAAAACUUUCCUCGUUCUCUUUGUAGAUUCUUGAGCUCAACUUAUAACUUCUCAAUCUACUUCAAGACAUUAGGAUUACCAUAAUCACUCCACACAUCAAGUUACAUUUUGUCCAAUUCAAAUGUUUCAUUAUUAAUGGCCUUCAAAACUGUUUUCAAUCUCUUCAACUUAAGAAAAAAUUCCUCAUAGGGUCACUAUUCACUUCAUCUUACCAAGAGUCAACAACAAUAUUCAUGUAAUUCUUAUGCUUAAUCCAAAAAUUAAAAAAAAAACUGAAAAGGUUUGGGAGGAGAGUAGAUAGGCUUAUCCAACCAUACUAAUAAAGAACAAUGAUCUGAAUCACCAAGAGCAAGAAAUUCAACCAUAAAAAUAAGAAAAUAAAACAUCCAUUCAGGAUUCACCAAGACCUUAUCAAGCUUCCUUGAAAGGUACCUAUCAUGCUUAUAGUUAGAUCAAGUGUAAUCUGGUCCAAAGAAAGCAUGGUCCAAGAUUCCCAAACCACUCACAACCUUCGAAGAGUCUCUUAUAUCACUAAUGCAAGCUUGAAUAUCAUCAAAUGUAGAACUCUCUUCUAGUAGGAGAGUAAUAUUGAAAUCGCCCCCUAAAAUCCAAAAGCAAUUACCAACUUGUUUCUCAUAUCCUCAAGAUAAGACCACAACUCUCUUCUUUCAACACUAUCAUUACUAGCAUAAAUGGCAGACAAGAAAAUAGUCUCAUUUUGAACCUGCAAUCUACAAGAAAUACUCUAACAAGUGAUCAAAAUUGGCUCUAGCAUAAGAUAAUUGUUCCAAAUAAUCCAUAUCCUUCCAUUCAUUGUAAUACUAUAAUUGUAAACAUAAAUCCAAGCACAAAAAUGCUUUUAUAAAAUAAUUGGCACCUUAUUCUAUUUAAUUGUAGUUCUAACAAACAAAAUUACAUUUGAAAAUAUCAUUACUAGUACUAUCAAGAUUUUUAGGCCUCAAUACCUUCUCCUUACCAUUAACCUUAUUUGGGCAACCUUUAUUAUAAUGGCCAAAAAAGUUGUAACACCCUAUACCCGGCCUGGUUGCCAAGCCCAAAUACGGGAUGUCACACCAUCAUCUCAUGUCGCAUACAUCAAGUAGAAAGCUCAUUCUAAACAAUACGUCCGUCAUUUUAUUAUCCGCAUAUGUCUUAAGCCACUCAAACUUGAUAGUUAUCAUUGUUUCUUGCAAAUCUUACAAUAAUUAGUUUUAUAAACAUUUUAAAACAUGCAUAAGGUCCAUUUAGUAAAAUUUCCAAAACAUUUCCGUAAGUAUUGAUACUAACACUAGGGUAUCGAAAUUUUUUCUAAGUGGUAUUGAUACCAAACUUUCAUUUUAUUUCUCGAUAAAAAAACCCAAAGUCUCAAAAAUUAUCAGUACCUAUCAUGAAAUAUAGAUACUUUAACCCCGAGUAUCGAUACUCGAGCAAAGGUAUCGAUAUCAAAUCUCUAUUUUGACUUCCUGUACGUUUCAAAACAUGGUAUUGAUUUUAAAACCUGAUUAUUGAUACACUUACUCCAGACCUCAAAAAUAUAGCAUACAUAAGCAAUUAAUCCAUUCCAAUUUAGUUCCUAAACAUCAUACACCAAUUACUUCGACAAAUAAUCAUUCAACGACCUAAUUAACAGUUCAAUAUCGUAAAAUUGUGUUCAAGCAAGUAAAGUCAAUCUUUCCUCAUGUUCAUAAACCCAACCAUAAUAAUAUGUAAUCCUUAUAAACCGAACCAAAAACUAGCAAAAUGUCUAGAAGUUAACAUGGCUAUAAACAAGUCUAUCACACUGCCUUUUCCCCAAAACAUAAAUAAAUAAAGAACACCUACGGAAUAACACAAAAUUGGCUUGGGUAAAGAAUGAAGUGGGUGGGCUUAACAAGCUCAGUGAAUGAUUAGAAUAACCACAUCGCAAACAUAUCAUCAUGCAUCUUCAAAACGGCCAUUUAUAAGUACAAUUACAAUAGUUCUAUGUCUAGUGCCAUAGAGUACAUAUCCAUGCAUUAUCUACUGGUUUAUCUACAUAGCAUUUACAUACUCAUGCAAACAUAAAUCAUGUAACACACAUAUUUAAUUAAACAUAUAUCACAUUUCACACAAACGAUAAAAUGCAUAAUGGUCACAUGUCAUAUAAACACAUAUUACGAUACACACAUAUUCAUAAUUUAAGAUAAUUUGCAUAGCAACCACUUACUCAUUUAGGCAUACAUCACACUACACAUAUAUACAUUUUAAGAUAAUUUGGCGCUUGAGCUAUGAAACAUAAAAGUGAGCUCUACCAUCACUCAUCAGAUACACGAAUCUCCAACAUACUAAACAUAGACUCAUAGAGUCAAACAUGUCCCAAAAGUAUAGCAUAUAGCUAACACUCUCCUUAAUUCCCUUCACAUAUCCUGUUGAAUAGAGCUUAGCUCACAUUUCCUUAUCCCUCCAACAUGUCCCAAGGCCUCAAUGCCCAAAAUCGCUGUACAUAUAGGUGAGUACUUACGAUCCUAUGGCAUGUCAACUAUAUCCAAGGGUUUCAAGAUCAUAAGGCCAAAAUAACUGAAAAAUAAUCACAUAUCACUUACCGAUUAUCCGUGCACAAUCACUGCAUGUUAGCAUCUUUUGCAAAACACUAUCACUGUCAUUUAACAUAUAUCAUUUUCACUUUACACAACAGUUACCAUAUUUACAUAUAACAUGUUUGAGAUUCUCAUUACCAUGCACAAUUUCAUAAUCAUAUAAGCACAAAACCACAUAACGAGUAUAGAUACAAGAAAACUUACACUCAGAAUUUAGAGUAGGGGUUUAGACUACUACUGAAUUCCCAAUUAACACAAAACUCAAAUGUCUUGGUCUAUACUCAUUCUUUUCACCUAAAACCAAUUCCAUUCAUCUUAUAAUUCACCUACAACUAAUUCUCAACCUUUAAACUACAAUAAAUACUUAAUUCAUAGUAUCGAUUUUUUUGACAUGUUUUAUGGCUAUUUUUCGAAAAUUCAUUCAAAUUCAAGAAUUAUUUAACGAAACAUCAAAUUAAAUUUAGAAACCUUCUAAUCAUGUCAAAAAAGUUGAAAAAUACUUUGAAACCACAUUUUUAUGCAAAAUCUUAAAAUCGACCAUUAACGAUCUAAUUUUCGGCUUUUAUUCAAACAUGUGAUUUAAUGGCUAAAAACUUAGUUUUAAAGACUAAAUAACAUUUAAAACUAAUGGGAAGAUGAAUUUUUUCCUUAGUUGAUGAAAAACUAAGCAUAUGAUCAAAAACCCUAAAAACCCACAAGCUUGAGAAUUGAGGAAUCUAUGGUGUUUUUGGGUGUUUUUCUUAAAGUAUUAUGGAGGUUUAAUGUUAUAAGCAUGAUGGAAAUCAAAAGAAUAGAGUUUGGAAUCAAAAACCGAAUGGAGAGGGUGAAGGAAAAUAAAGGGACGGCAACAAGAAUGGGAGGAGAGGAAACUAACAUGAAAUAUAUGUAGGUAGGGGAAGUAUUAGGUUGAAUUUUAAAAUUUGGUUUAAGUGCCUCUUAAAAACUCACAAUUUUGACUCUUUUACAAAUCAGUCCAAUCUUCAAAAUUGAAGGUCUUUAAAACUUGUUUUCGAAAAUUGAUUUAAUUUUCUAAAAACCAUAGUAAAAAACAUUACCGAUAAAUCAUGUCACAAAAUUUCAAACACUCUAAGAUUAAAGUUCCUAAAUUACCUCUAAAACUCUUAGGCCCUAUUUUGCGGUGUUACAAAAGUGGUAAGAGAAACAUCUAGAAGACAUCCAAGGAAUCUCAACAUCAAUUGUAACAAUAGAUCCAUCAUUCAACUCAACAUUAAUAGAUAUAAGUACAAGAAAAUCUGCAGCAAUUUCAAUGCAUACCUUUGCAUAAGAAAGCUUAUUCUGAUAAAUUAUUAUACUAUCCAUGUAUAAAAGAGAUCCAAUAGCACUCACAAUGUAACUCAACCCAUUUUGUGUGAACAACUCUAAAGGAACACAACUCAAUUGAAUCCAAAUAGGCAUCCGAUCCAAAUUAAAUUCCAAUUUCUUCAAGUUUGGCUUUCAUUUGCGCAGAAUCAUUGGCUUAUUUUAUAUGUGCCAAGGCCCAUGUUCUAAAACUCAGUCUCUCACUUCAAAAUUAGUAAAUUGAACAAUAUACAGAUUAUCCCUAGCGAGCUUAACCUUCACAUCUCCCAGCUUGCUCCAAAAAAGAUUAACAAGUCUCUACAUUGAACCAAAGUUUGGAGGUCGACCUAGAAAUUGCGCCACUAAAGAGAAUUGCCAAAUGCAAGCUCCCUCUUCAAAAAUCUCACUCUGAGCUUGAUAAUUUGCAAAACCAUCCUACAUCUAAGGGGGGAAAAUUCUAAAUUCUACUCUAAAUUUGAGUCAAACAACAUUGUAUAGUCAAGCGAUUUUGACAACACCAUAACAACAGGGAAGAAAAUCAAGAAAUCAAAGCAAAAGCAAGAAAUUAGAAAGAAAUUAAGAAAAUCAAGAAAGAUCACUAAAAAUUAAGAGGAACAAGGAAUUUGUCCAAUACAAAAACUCUUGAUAAAAUGCACCAAGAGCAUUCCUUAACGUGCACCCCUUCUAAAAUUAAUAAAUUAAUAUUAGCAUUAAAAUUACUUAUUCAAUAUUUAACAUUUUUUAAUGCUACUCAAUCCAUUAAGCUGAUAUGUGAAAGCCUUAUUAAGUUUAUCCCUAUCAUAAAUUUAAAAUGAUAAAGUUAAGUCUUGAUUUAUAUGCAGCAGUGGUUAAAUUUUUUAUCAAACAUCUGUUUGACAUGGGUUCAAAUCGUGUUAUCACAUUCACACAUCUAAUAUUUUUUAAAAAAAUACUUGACUUAACAACACAAGAGAGACAUUCAGUCCCUAUAAGUUUUUAGUUUUGGAAAUAACACCUAUAGAGAGAAUUUUAGAGAGACCUUUAAGAGUUAGAAUGAUAAAGUGCCAAAAGUCCCCUUACUUUGAAGGCCUCCUAUUUAUAUAUAUUUGAAAUUAGGACUUAGAAAUCUAGGUUAUUAAUACGAGUAAUGAAACUAAUUUUCAAUUACAUUGCAUUAAUAAUUAAGAAGACAUGGUGAAAGAUUUUGUCAGUAAUGGUGAAUAAUGAAUAAGAAUUCAUUAUGUUUCUAAAAAAUGGAAAAAAGCACUCAACAUUACAGUAGAAAGUUAAGAAAAAUCUUAACUAUCUCCAUAUUUGAUCCACAAUUCCAAGCUCUCUAAAACAUACUAAAAGUGAAUAUAACCCAAGAACCCUGCCAUAUUUCAAGGUUACUUCCGCUUCUUUUACUUUGGUGAAGCAGUACCAUGAUUGAAACAUCUUUCGCGGAACAUCUUUUGCAAUGUAAGACAAUGAUUGUUUUUGGAUGAGUGUUAUUCUUGAAUAAUGGUUAUGUUGAAUUGUUUUAGACGUGAGUUAUUCUCAACGUAGUUGUUCUUAAUGUAGAGAUCUCAAACAAGAGUUGUUUUGUGAUGAUGUUUUUCUUGAUAGAGCUUGUUUUGAAUAAUGAAUAUUCCAGAAAAAUAAAAAAACAUGCAUUUGUUUUAAAUACAAGUUCCAAACAAUGAUUAUUCUAAACAUAACUAUUCCUGAAAUGUCAUUAUUCUGAUUAAGAGUUGUUCCAAAGUUUAGUUGUUCUCAAUAUGAGUUGUUUUCAAAUAACAACUAAAGUUAUGUUCUGAACAUAGCUAUUUCGGAUAUAGUUAUUCUCCAACAACAGUUAUUUUGAACAACUUUCUAAACAAUAGUUAUUGCUCCGGAAGAGAUAUUAAGUGAAACGAGGAUGCUAGUUGUUCUACACUUGGUAGCAUAGUUUCUUGAAAUAUAAUAUUAUUUAUAUUAAAGAAGAGAUAAAAUGCAAGUAGUCAAAACUAAGUAUCUAUAUCCCGUAACAUAUUUAACUGUUAAGUCUUUCUUUUUCUUUUUCUUUUUCUUUUUCUUUUUCUUUUCUACUUUUAAUGGUGUUUUAGUUUCAAAAGGGAAAAGGUGAGGAAAGGAGCGCUUUGAGGAUUCGAGCAAUCUCAAUCUAAGGGGUGAGAAAAUAAUCAUAAACCAAAAUCAGUAAAUGCUACUAUAUAUACAAAUUGGAUUAUAGAUAUUCAACAUGGAGAAGAACAAGUGGUAUAAUUAUCCUUAUUUGAGCUUUCACUUUUCUACAAUGCUUCCUACCUUCUAAAAUGUGUCAUUCCCUCACAAGCCAAUGUUCCUUCAAGAUCUCCAAUGAUUCGAGCUAUUCGGACCUCAAGACCCCUUUGAACUUCCUGAAACAAAGAUUUAAUAUUAUCAGAGAAUUGCUUCAUGUCGAAGGUGGCUGUCUUGUCUAACUCCACCCCAUUGAACCCAGGGGCUAUUUUGGAUUGAAUUUCCAUCAACUUUUGACCCGUUGCAACCAUAUAUCUCUGCAACUGGAAUGUCUCCUCUAGGAAAUGCUCCAGGCUUCUGGUGGUUCCUCCUUUCGUUUUCACAUUGCUGCAAUCUCCUUGACUCGAGUCUACCUCAUUCUCAUUCUGAAAAUUGUAGAUGAGAUUGUGAUGAGAAAGUAGUCAUAGGCCACAGUAAAGUAAUGAAGUAGCGUUUGAUUUCAUUUCUAGCAGCAAACAAAGAAGAAAAUGUUCAAAAUUUUGCAGAUCACCAGUGAAAGUCAUUCAUGUCAUUGCUUACCAUCCGCUUACAGAGAUCGUCAGUCUUCCCUUGAAGGGACUGGUAGCGGCUGACUUGUUUAUUAAGCAAAGAGAUCAACAACAGAAACCCUUUGAUCCCAUUGUCACCCCCAUCCAUAUCCUCUCCACUUUCUUGCUUUCCUUUUAACCUCUCAAGCAUGAGAAGUUGCUGUUUCAACCUUUUGAUCUUGUAAGAAACUCCAAGAGCUUGAAGAUCCAUCCUCCAUGGGUUGUUUUUGGUUUUAGCACUGGCACCCCUGGGCUGGUCAACACAAUCCACCACCAAUGAAUCAUUAGUUUCUUUCUGGAGUGAACCAGGGUCGACAGACUCUCUUUCUUCUUCAAAAUCCUUUUCAGGUGAUUGAACAAUCAAUCUGAUGUUUUUGGAGUCUUUGCAAGAUGGGAUUAUCUCUUCUUUAUCUAGCAGGCUUGUUUUUUUUUCUUGCUCCUUCUCGGUUGCCUUUUUCUUUACAAUCCUGACUUUAGGCCAAAAGGAAUCAUGUGUCAAAGCUGGAUCGUGCAGAGAUAUAUUUAAUAUGUCACUCUUUUGACAACUCAUAGGCUUUAAUUGUGAUGCAAACUGAUCCUUCAAGGAAUUUAAUUCUUCUUCUCUCUCCAAUAGCAUGGCCUCCAAUUUCAUGUUGUCUUGUCUGAGCUGAGAUACAUCCUGGUUCAGUCCAUCAACAUGGGACUGCAACCGCUCCGACUCUAGUUCCAUGCUCAACAGUCGCCAGCGAAAACCCUCUAACUUCUCAUCUUUCAGUCUCAUUUGUUCAGCAAAUGCAUCCAGUUCCAAAUGAUGUCUUUUCUCAAUCACAUUCGCAUACUUUUCUGCCUCCGCUCGAACCCAACUUUCCAGCCUUUUAACAUCAGCUGUCACCACUGUUUCAACAAAAACCCAAUGCAGAAACGAUUAGAUCAUAAACACAAUAAGACAUAAAGGCAUAAAGGCUCUCAGUUCUCACCUAAAUCCUCAGUUCCUUGUGGAGAUUGACAAUCUGGAAGAAGAGAAAAGGCUUCUGGGUCUGUUUUCAGUUCUGGAUAAUCCAAUUUUGCACUGGCUUGAGCUUGGUUACUGAACAUACCCUUCAAUGAAUGUCUCUCAUGUCUAGUCUCAGAGACUGCUUUCCACCUUUCUGUUUCUAGCUCAGCUUGCUUCUUCUUUGCCUUUGAUACUUUAACUUCUUUCAAAAGCAAUUGUUUCUCUGCUGUGUCUAACUUCGAUUUCCUUAACAUUGCAGACAAAAUCUUGUCUUUUUGCUCCAAAUCCUUGCGCAUUUUCGUGAUUUCCAUGGACAGCUUUUGUGCCAACACAACUGAUUCCUCCUUUUGUUCUAGGACAGCAUCAAGCUCCAUUUUUGUAGCUUCAACUUGCCUAAAGGCUCGCCCCAUCUCUGCUUCAAGUUGCCUUUGAUUUGAAACAAUCUCAAUGAAAGCAGUUUUGUGCUUCCAAAUCUCGUUGGAAUGCUCCUGAGCUUCACGCUUUGCUGUUUCCCUCAAUUCUUGAGCAACACUUUCCAACUUCAUUGCCUUCUCUUCUAAUUCCUUCCCUUUCACCCCCAUUUCUUCAAUCAUCUUAUUCUUAGACUUCACCAAGAUUUCCAUUUCAUCGAAUUUUUGUUUCAAGCCAGCAAUUUCAUCAUCUUUCUUCUUCUCCAGGACUCUCAAUUCAUUUAUAAGGGCUCCAAUUUGCAGCCGAAGCUUCUUUCUUUCAAUCAACCAUCCUUGCUCUUGUGAUGCAAAGAUGCCGACAACCUUCUCAUUUGCUUUUGCAUCUUCAUGUCUCAUUUGCUUUAACUCCUCAAUCUCUUUCUCAGCCGUCUCAAGCUUUUGAACAAGUUCAGCCUUUGCUAGAUUGACUUCUUCUCUCUGGAUUCUCCAUGCAAGCAACCCCAAGAGCUGAGCACUUCCUUGAACCAUUUUAUCACGAAAUUCACACCAUUUCUCAUCACCCUUUUCGGUUCCUAUGAGGAAUCUGAGAGCAAAGAAAGCACAAGAGACACCAAAACACAUUGGAUAAAAGCUGUCACUUUUAUUGUCUUCGGAGAUGAUUAGACAUGAACCAGAAAUUCGCUUCUCAUCCAUUGCCUUAUAAACUUGCUUCUUCACCUUCGGGAAUUUAGAACAACAAUGAAGUUAUAAGCAAAAAACAUUUCCAUGUAAUCAAAAUAAUUUAACACAAAAAACACAUUACAAUAAUGGAGGAACAACAAUACCCUACACAGUUAGCAGCACAAAAACCUCAUCGAAACUGUACAAUCUAUAACAAAAAUAAUGUAAAAACUUACAAGAAGAAAAGGGUGAAAUGCUUUCAUGAAUUCAAACCCAGGCCAGAACAGCUGGUUCUACAACUUUUAGUGAUCCAUGGAAGAUCUUUUUAAAGGGCCUGUUUGAUUUGGAAAAUUAUCCAUAAUAAACUAUCAGGGAAAACCCAAAAGCCUGGUUUUCAGUGAUAACCCCACUUGUUUCCCAUUAAUUUCUUUUCAUUCAUGCCUCCUUCCAACACUGCUCAUAGAUUCCUGGUGGUUUGUCACCAUUAAUAACAAAGAAAAAAGCGUUGAAGAAGAAAAACAUAAAUCUUCCUUUGGAACAAUCCUGGGAAAUUUUUUAUUUUUUCCAGAGUGUCUUUCGCUUAUUCAAAGUAUAAAAUGAUUGAUUGAUAAUCUACUCUAAAGUUUAGCUAUCAAAAUGAAUACUGAAAAAGGCUACGAAAUUAGUUUUUAAAGUAAUUUUCAGUUAUUACAUAUAGAUUAGGUUAAAAUAUGUUGUGUAAUUUUUAAAAAGUUGAAAUUUAGUGCUCGUACUUUUACUUUUAAGAAUUUAGUUAUUGUACUUUUUAAUUUUUAAAAUUCAUGUCCAUAACCCUUUUUUAAUUAUUUUAUUAGAUUUAAGUUCAUAACAAUAUCAUUUUUUUAGUUACAUGGCUACCAAAUAAGUUUUUUUAUGAUAAAUUACACUCAUGAUUACUCUAACAUAGGGUUUGUCCUAUUUCAGUUAGUCAAUUUUUUUUCUCAAUUUAAUCACUCUUAAUAAAAUGAUUGUGCGAACCAAUUACUGUCGUUAAGUUUUUUGUUUUCCUCUAAAGGAUCGCACAGUCAACAAUUCACCUAAUUUUUUUGUCCAUGUAAUACAUAUAUUUCUAACUAAUUAAAAAAAAUUAACUGAAUGAACUAGCCAAAAAUGAUUGUUUUAAGAGAGAGAGAGAAAAAAAUGGCAUUCCCUUCGUCAUAAUCAACCCUAACCACCAUUCCCUUCAACCCCAUCAACCUAAAUUGCCCAACACCAUACACGACAACAUGUUGGAAAAAUCAAUUUGGGAAACAAUGUUUUUAAGCACGACGAAAAUUUGAAAUUUUUCUCAAAACUAAGCCAUUGUGAUAUUUAUAGUAAUAAAAUUUAAUUGAAAUUAUACUUAUACUUUGCGUGAAGGCAAUCUAGGUCGUUUCCCAGCUUUCAACCAAUUGAUCUUCUCUGCUAUCCUUGAACUCCGAAUUGCUUGAAUGUGGGCUCAAGCAAAUUGAAUUAUGACACAAAAUAAAAUAAAAAAUUGUUUAACUUUCAGUAGGAACGUUUAUUCUCUAUAUGCAUCGAAAAUUAUGAGUAUUCUUGAGAAAAAUAAAAUUUAUUCUUAAAAUAAAUUGUCACUAUUUUUCAACAGAAUAUCGGUUCUCAAAAAGUGUAUGUCAAUAGGUUAACUCAUGGUUCUUAUCUAUAGAGAAACAGUACAAGAGUUUUGUUCGAAUAAGGUCUAAGUAAAUAAUAAUAUUUUAAUAAAAAAUACGAGUUUUACUUGAAGUAGAACUAGGGGAUGGCGGCAUGCCCUAGUAUACACUAAGGAUUGCCACCCCUUGUAUUCUUCGAGCUAUUUGGGUCUUUCAUGUAUUGGAUCUAAUUAUAUGUUAUUUGGACUUUUAUUCAACAUGUAUAAUUUAUCCAACACAAUAAAUAUUUUCUAUUAUCCAAAAUAUUAUUUAUUUAAUCAAUUAAUUUAAUUAACUAAAUUAAUUUCUUAAUUAAUUUAUUUUCUCAACCCAAUUUAAAAUUCACUAAAGUCAUGACAACUUUACCGAAUUAAAAUCUAUGAGAAUUUUAAUUUAAUUGUCUUAUUCAACAAAUAUAUUAUGACUAAUUAAUUUAAUUCUCACUUCAAAUUUCAAUUAUUUAAUUACAAUCAAUUUAAAUAAUAAUUUGAAUAUAUUAAAUUAAUUUUCUAAGUCACAUUUUGUACUUAGUGAGAUAAUGCAUUCACUACACAUAGUGAUACAUGCGAUUUAUUUCUCUUACUUGUUGUUUUCAUUCAUUCCACAACCUAUCAAAUCUACAUGCAAUUCAUUUCAAGUUAUCUCGAGCUAGUUGAGGGACCGAUUAGAUAUAUAUAAUUAGGGCUCAAAUAGUUUGUAAUUAAGUUUUAGCUCUUCACCGAUUAAUUACAACUCAUUUAAUCAUGGAGUCAUUCCACUAUAGUACCAUGACUGAACUCCCUCUUAUUAUAUAUCAUUACUAAAGUUACUUUAUUAAGUGUUCGUCUAAUGACAUUGUCAUAAAUGUGUUACAUUCAUAGUUUAUUCUUAAUCUCUUUAGGAUAAAUUUAUUCUCUCAGUAUGAUCCUAUUUUAUCUCAUAGUUUCUAUUACAUCUUAUGUGAAAAUAAAAUAAAAUAAAAUAAAAAACACAGAUUUUACAUGAAAACCCUUUUGGGGAAAAACUACGGACAGAGGAGAAGAAAAUUCACUAUGUCGAAUUCGAAUAAUUACAAGAGAAAUAGGCCUUGUCUAUUUAUAGGUUUAUAAAGCCAUAUUCUAAUAAGAGUGUGGUAAUAUUGAAACACCUUAUUCUAAUCAAUAUAAAAUAGAUAGAGUUUAAUAAGAUUUAAAACACUUUAUUCUAAAAUAAAAUAAAAGAAGUGUAGUUCUAUAUGGAUUUUACUUUUAUUUUAUUUUACCACUGCAUUUUAUUUAAAUAAGGAUCUGGGUCACUUAAUUCUAACAUCUUCUUAUAUGAAAAAGUUAAUUACUAACACAUAGUAAUUAAAUCAUUUGUCUUAUGACAAAUUACCCGCGAUCAUGUUCCUUUUUUUUCAAUCAUGUAAUGUCAAUGAAAGUAUAUCAUUUACCUUUUUAUUGGACUAUGAAUUCCACUAUUGUGGCAUGAUACUAUAUUAUAAAGAAGUCGUAUACCCAACAAACCAAGUUUUAGUUCCUUAUCUAUUUGAACUCAUAUUUUCAUUUAGAUCAGACUAUAUGAGUUACACAUAAAUUGUCCAUCAUUUAUUCAAGAUUGAGGUAUGCUACAUUAUGAACAUCACAAGUGAAUAAAUCCAUAAACGAAUCUAGGCUAAAUUCAACUUGGGUUAAGUCUAAUGUAUUGUCAAUCUAGAUAAUGACAUCUAUGUCUCUAUCUUCUGGGAGUCAUCCAUUCUGAUACUCAAGACAAGACAUCUCCCUAAAUAGACUUGAUAGGCAACAUAAUAGUCUUUCAAUCAAUUUUCUCAAUUUCUGUUAGACUAAUGAUUGUUUAGAUUAUCUACUAAUAUGUAUUCUCGCAUUAUGAUUUGACCACAUAAUUCAAUAUAAUGUUAGUUAAAUAUUAGAUAAUCAACGAGCUAAUAUUUUUUUACAUUUUACUUUGUGUGCAAAAACCAUUGAAAGCAUAUAGAAAUGAUAUUAAUGUAUAAUGGAAUUUUAUUUAAACCAAUAUGUUCAAAAAUUACUAAUACAAAUUGAUAAAUAUACUACACUAAAGGCACUAGAUCCUAACAUAACAACCAUUUGGCUACUUCAAUCUUACCCCUAACAUGACUCACCCUCAACAGCCUAGAAUACCAAAAUGGAAGCCAAUAAACACAGUAAAAUAAAAAAGAAAAAAAAAGGAUUUGAUAAUCUUUAAACCUUACUUGCAAGCAUCGAAAAAGAAAAACUUGGAGAAUAAAAAAGGAGAUGCAAAAAUAAAAAGAAAAGCCAUAAUACUUAUCUUAGUUUGAACCCAGAUUCUUAAGCACUGAAGCCCCAUUCGAGGAUCCAAAUGGUGAGAAGGUGUGUUUAAUUAUAGGCAACAACAUAUCCCUGACCGACGAUGAUCAAACGGUGCGAAACAGAGAUCAAAGAAAGAGUGGUUCAAAGCUUUAAAUGUUGUUAGAAGAUUUGGAGUUGGUUUCUUGGAAGAUUGGCAUUCGUAGAUUGAGAGAGAAGAGAGUACAUGCUUUCUUCCAAUGGUAUCGAUGGCCUGAACGGAGGUUGGAUUCAGCAGUGGUGGACAACCUCGAUGACAACAGCUAGGGUUGAGAAGAAAAAG